GAUGAAGAACGCAGCGAAAUGCGAUAAGUUAUGUGAAUUGCAGAAUUCAGUGAAUCAUCGAAUCUUUGAACGCACAUUGCGCCCUCUGGUAUUCCGGGGGGCAUGCCUGUUCGAGCGUCAUUAUAACCACUCAAGCUCUCGCUUGGUAUUGGGGUUCGCGGUUCCGCGGCCCCUAAAAUCAGUGGCGGUGCCUGUCGGCUCUACGCGUAGUAAUACUCCUCGCGAUUGAGUCCGGUAGGUCUACUUGCCAGCAACCCCCAAUUUUUACAGGUUGACCUCGGAUCAGGUAGGGAUACCCGCUGAACUUAAGCAUAUCAAUAAGCGGAGGA
rnacentral:misc_RNA from 1 species